AACGGCCGUACCAUGCUGAAUAUACCGGUUCUCGUUAGAUCACCGAAAGUCAAAGCAUCAUUGGGCGUCAGUACUUGGGUGGGUGACCACCUGGGAACACUGCGUGC
rnacentral:rRNA from 1 species